GGGAUUCCCUUAGUAACGGCGAGCGAACAGGGAAGAGUCCAGCGCCGAAUUCCGCGCUCUUUGCGGGCGUCGGAAAAUGUGGCGUUUAGGAGGGAGCGUGCCGGGAGUCUGACCUUGCAGCAAGUCCCCCUGACCGGGGCAGUUACCCAGAGUGGGUGCGAGGCCCAUAGCUGCUCGGUCUCUCCCGGAUGCGACCUCUUGGGAGUCGGGUUGCUUGGGAGUGCAACCCCAAUCGGGUGGUAAACUCCACCUAAGACUAAAUACGGCCGUGAGACCGAUAGCAAACAAGUACCGUGAGGGAAAGUUGCAAAGAACUUUGAAGAGAGAGUUCAAGAGUACGUGAAACUGCUCAGAGGCAAACGGGUGGGCCCUCGAAAUCCGUCGGCGGGGGAUUCAGUCGGGAGGUGCGGGCUCGUGCGCCGGUCGGUAAAUCGGACCCAUAGCUGGGCCGGGCCGGCGCCGCAGUCUCCGCACGACCCGACGCACUUCCUCCCGCCCCAAGGACGCCGCAGCCGGUUGGGUAGCUGCGCGAGUCGGCCAUAAGGACGGGCACCGGAAGGUGGCCAGUGGCGAACUAGUUUCCGUUGCUGGUCGUUAUCCAGCCCGCCCGUGGCGCGACACCCGACCGAGGUCUAUCAGGUCCAGGUUAGGACCUUGCCGUCCCCUCCCCCGUGGUCGAGCGGGCGCGCCGGCAGGCGAUUCCCCUUGCGGCCGUCCCACUCUUAGUAGUGGCCGGCCCUCGGGUGGCGCCGUUGGCGAGGAUGCGUCCCGCGCGGGGUUCGGAAGGCUUGCGGCGAGUAGGUCGGUCACCCACCCGACCCGUCUUGAAACACGGACCAAGGAGUCUAACAUGUGCGCGAGUCACGGGGUCUUGUUCAGGCCCAGAGGCGCAAUGAAAGUGAAGGCCGUCUAACAGCGGCCGUGUUGGGACUCUCCGCGCCCGCCGCGGGGAAGCACCAACGACCCGCCCUGUCCGAUUCAUCGGUUGGGCGGAGUGUGAGCGUACACGUUGGGACCCGAAAGAUGGUGAACUAUGCCUGGGCAGGACGAAGCCAGAGGAAACUCUGGUGGAGGUCCGUAGCGGUUCUGACGUGCAAAUCGAUCGUCAGACCUGGGUAUAGGGGCGAAAGACUAAUCGAACCA
rnacentral:rRNA from 1 species